rnacentral:rRNA from 1 species
UACGGCGGGGGCUAGCGUUGUUCGGAAUUACUGGGCGUAAAGCGCGCGUAGGCGGAUCUGCAAGUCGGGGGUGAAAUCCCGAGGCUCAACCUCGGAACUGCCUUCGAUACUGCGGGUCUCGAGUCCGGGAGAGGUGAGUGGAAUUCCUAGUGUAGAGGUGAAAUUCGUAGAUAUUAGGAAGAACACCAGUGGCGAAGGCGGCUCACUGGCCCGGUACUGACGCUGAGGCGCGAAAGCGUGGGGAGCAAACAGG